CGCCAGGAAGUGCGUCAGAGAAAAGCGACAGCGCCUCCCCCGCCUUCCGGCGGAAAGAACUGAAGGCCCGCGGCCCAUGGGAGCCGCCAGCGGAAGUCACCCGAGUGAGGAGGCGUGGCCUAAGGAACAUUCCUUAUUUCAACGAGUGACCAAGGAAACUUCGAGGAAUGCUGUGACGGGCCGAGGUUAGGGGAACCGAAGCCGAUGCUCCACCUUCAACCUGAACACCAUCUGGGGUUUGUGAACUUGAACACAGCUCCUUUGAUCACCA